AGUGAACGCUGGCGGUAGGCCUAACACAUGCAAGUCGAACGGCAGCACAGUAAGAGCUUGCUCUUACGGGUGGCGAGUGGCGGACGGGUGAGGAAUACAUCGGAAUCUACUUUUUCGUAGGGGAUAACGUAGGGAAACUUACGCUAAUACCGCAUACGACCUACGGGUGAAAGCAGGGGAUCUUCGGACCUUGCGCGAUUGAAUGAGCCGAUGUCGGAUUAGCUAGUUGGCGGGGUAAAGGCCCACCAAGGCGACGAUCCGUAGCUGGUCUGAGAGGAUGGUCAGCCACACGGGAAGUGAGACAGGGUCCAGACUACUAAGGGAGGCAGCAGUGGCGAAUAUUGGACAGUGGGCGGAAGCCUGAUCCAGCCAGACCGCGUGUGUGAAGAAGGCGUUCGGGUUGUAAAGACGGUUUGUUGGGAAAGAAAAGCAGCAGGUUAAGAACAAGCGGAUCUGACGGUACCCAAAGAAUAAGCACCGGCUAACUUCGUG
rnacentral:rRNA from 1 species